rnacentral:rRNA from 1 species
AUUGAACGCUGGCGGCAGGCCUAACACAUGCAAGUCGAGCGGAUGAAGGGAGCUUGCUCCUGGAUUCAGCGGCGGACGGGUGAGUAAUGCCUAGGAAUCUGCCUGGUAGUGGGGGAUAACGUCCGGAAACGGGCGCUAAUACCGCAUCCGUCCUGAGGGAGAAAGUGGGGGAUCUUCGGACCUCACGCUAUCAGAUGAGCCUAGGUCGGAUUAGCUAGUUGGUGGGGUAAAGGCCUACCGAGGCGACGAUCCGUAACUGGUCUGAGAGGAUGAUCAGUCACACUGGAACUGAGACACGGUCCAGACUCCUACGGGAGGCAGCAGUGGGGAAUAUUGGACAAUGGGCGGAAGCCUGAUCCAGCCAUGCCGCGUGUGUGAAGAAGGUCUUCGGAUUGUAAAGCACUUUAAGUUGGGAGGAAGGGCAGUAAGUUAAUACCUUGCUGUUUUGACGUUACCAACAGAAUAAGCACCGGCUAACUUCGUG